rnacentral:lncRNA from 1 species
GUAACGUAAACUAUUGUUGCAGACUGAGUUGGGAUCUUCAAAAGAAACAUGCUAUGGGAGAAAAAAAGAGUUGUUACAGGGAUGUUACGAAGAGAGAAAAGAUAUUGGAAUUCUACUGCUGCUACAAAAACAGGAUGAUUUGAUUCAUUUCAAAAGAAGAUCUGAAUAAGGAAGGAAACUCAUAUACACUUACAAAAAGAAACAGGGAAGAAAUGAGUGGAUGGAAGAAAAGUAAUGUAUUUGUUAAGAAAGUCUCUGUUUUGGCAAGGAUAAACUUGUGCUGCAAAAAUCAGUCCUGAGCAUGGAUCCUCAAGUGCUGUUGACUGAACUUCACUACUAUAUUGACAGCUUCUGAUUAUUACUACCUGGAACUGCAGUUGAAGGGGUAACCCAGAGAUGAAAGGACUCCUCUGAAAUUCAUUCCUGAAACCCUUUAGUCACUAAGAGAAAAAGAAAGUGGGAGCAAGAAACUGGCUAAGACAAGUCUGAGGAAGAUGAAAUUAUGGCUAAGAAGAAAAAAAGAAGGAGAAUAUUUUCAAGAUGGAAAAGUUAACAGCCUUCACUAAAACCAUUGUGCUGCUUUAUAUUUUCUAAGAUGAAUGGAAGGGAUGGUAGGACUCCAACCCUGCGAGCACCAGUGGGAUGUACCCUGGAGAGGGGCAGUUCACCUUGGAGAGGUGGAAACAGGAACGAGGUGACGGUUUUAACACACUGCCCAAACCCCCUCCCACAGUGCCGUAAGGGCAAGGCUGCGGAGGAGCCACAUUUGAAGCAUCACAGCUCAGCAUCCCUCCAACAACAGAAAAUAGAUGCCUUCCACUUUGUUCUCCUGCAUGGAUCUGUAAGCUGUCAUGAACUUGCACGUGAAGAUAAUGGACACUGAAGUUUGGCUGGCGCAUUUGCUCUCUCACUCCCAAACCCUUGAUGCCUUGCUGCAAUCAGACAACUUAAUUAGUCCGAGCCCACCC